AAUUUAUCAUUUUGUCGACAAAAGGCCACCUAAAAAUUACUUGGCCCUUAACAACAUCACUUUACCCGUUUGAUGAAAGUUGUCUGAGAAAGAGAAGAACUAGUAAUAUUCUAUCAUGAACUGGUCAAGACCCGCUAGCAUCAUCAGCAGAAGAUGGAAGGGUCCAUGGGGGCUAAAACACACUCUUCAGGCAGUGGCAUUAGCACUUUCUCUAGUACUUGCAUUCUCAGUUUUUAUGGUGAGAGAUCGUAGGAAGAUUCUUGAUCGCUCAAAUGGUUGCCCUUUCUCUGCCAUAUUCAACUUCGGCGAUUCGAAUUCUGAUACUGGCAGCAAAUCCGCAGCGUUUCAUCGACUUCCUUAUCCUAAUGGCUACUCUUUCUUCAAUAAGCCAUCUGGGCGCUACUGUGAUGGGCGUGACAUCAUUGAUUUCAUCGCUGAGAAGUUGGAAUUACCGUACUUGGAUGCUUACUUAGAUUCUAUUGGGACAAAUUUUCAGCAUGGUGCAAAUUUUGCUAUUGGAGGCUCUACAAUACAGCCAGUGGAUGGUAGAAUAUUUGAGGGUGGUUUUAGCCCCAUUUCUCUUGACAUACAACUUUUGCAGUUUGAACAAUUCAAGGAACGAACUCUUGAGCUAUACAAUGAAAGUAGGAUAAAUUGUUGGAUGAAAAAAUAGAAACUCAAUUAACAUUUCUUUUUUUCUUGAAUUUCUAAUCCUAUUAUUAAGCUUAUUGUUAUCAGUUUGUGGAUUCUUUUUGCUCAGGUAGAAGCUCUUACAUCAUGAGUAGGCUCCCAAGACCCGAGGAUUUCUCCAAGGCACUAUACACAUUAGAUAUAGGACAGAAUGAUCUUCAUGCUUGGAUUAAGUCGAUGACUGAGAAGCAAAUGCUGGAAUCUAUACCCAGUAUCAUUACUCAGUUUGCUCAUGCAGUGGAGAAACUGUAUCAACUGGGAGCAAGAAUAUUUUGGAUACACAAUACUGGUCCUAUUGGUUGCUUACCUUAUGAUGUUAUAUAUUAUCCUCCAAAGCCUGGGGAUAAGGGCCAAAAUGGUUGUGUGAAGUCCCACAAUGAAAUUGCCCAAGAAUUUAACAGACAGCUGAAAGAUAAGGUGUCCCAGCUUAGAAAGCAACUCCCCGAUGCAGUACUUACUUGUACUGAUAUCUAUACAGCUAAGUAUUCAUUAAUUUCUGAAGCAAAGAAACAGGGUUUUGCUGAUCCACUUGGAUAUUGCUGUGGAUAUUAUGGGGAUUACCGUGUUCCAUGUGGGAAAAAUUCAAUGGUGAAUGGGACAGAAAUUUCUGGGGAUCCAUGCAGCAACCCUGAACUCUAUAUUAGUUGGGAUGGCAUACAUUAUUCUCAGGCUGCAAAUCAGAUCAUAGCUAACAGGAUUCUGGAUGGCUUCUUGUCAGACCCUGCAACUCCCAUCAUUGAAGCAUGUCACAAGCCUGUUCCUUUGUCAAAAUGAGCAUUGAUCAUAACUUUCAUACAAUUUGAAACUAGCAUUAACUAUUCCUUUGUUUUGAGUGUAAUCAUUCUCAUGAAUUCUUGUUUCUUACUUUUUUUAUUUGAUUCAACUUCAGGUUUUUCUUUGGUAAAUAUUCAACAACUCGAAUGUUCAUGUUGUAAAGAAAUGGAUCAAUUUUGGCUUAUUUUACUGCAACUGUUGAACUUUUUGUAGAUCAGAACUUCAGAAGCAGCAAGGUUGAACAGGAGCCGAGAAACUUAUGUUUGUGACUCUGCUCUUAAGCUUGUCUCAACAAUUAUAGCCAUUUUUAUUGUACUAUUUUUGUGCUGAAAAUGAACCGUUAAGGUGAUACAGACAAAUCUUUGUGUGCUGGGUGAGGGGUGUCUCCUCAUCCCUUGGCUUUGUAGCUGACAAAGAUGGAAAGCUAUUUUAGACAGGCGGCUAGUCAAACGUUGUAAUGCAACCGUGACUCAACUUUUAAUCCAUUGGCAAGGUUCCUCCCCUGCUGAUGCUACUUGGGAAUAUGCUGAUGAGAUACAGUUGUGCUUUCCUUUCUUUUCCUUGGGGACAAGGAUUCCUGGGAAGGGGAUUAUUGUUACAGACGAAACGGUACGUGUAGAGGAAUGAUGUUGGCGGGAGAAUAAUGGUUUCAAAACCAAUAAGAGAAGUUGAUAGGUUGAUGGAUAACAGAAUAGCAGAGCUGUUGUGUUGAGCUGGAAUUCGUUGUAACUAAUUGGGAAUCUGUUGUAAGUCCAUAUGAUAAAUAACUGUAAUUGUGAAAAUGUUGAGUGUGGAAUAAGAUCUUGAGAAUUCUCUCUCUCUUCAGUUUCUCUCUCUCGCCUCUAGUCUUUCUUCUCUCUAAUCUCUAGCUUUCUUUCUGUAAUUCUACUGGAUUCUAUCAACUUUUCAGGGGAUUGUUACCAAAUCUGGAUAUAGCCAAA
rnacentral:misc_RNA from 1 species